rfam:Gluconobacter morbifer G707 75_2, whole genome shotgun sequence.
CGGGGCGUGGCGCAGCCUGGUAGCGCGCUUGUUUUGGGUACAAGAGGCCCCCGGUUCGAGUCCGGGCGCCCCGA